CCUCCCCUUCAAGCGGUGAGCUGCAUCUUCGGAGCAAAAAGAUAUAAUCGCUUCCGUUUCGUACACAGCGACCUUUGUGUCUUAGCACCUACGUGUUUCCGCAUUUUACGCGACCCCCGUCUCCCUCCGUUUCUCUCGCUUUCAAGUUUUAAUCGCUGCUUUCCUCAUUUAGAGAUUGGAGUUUCCAUUCUGCAGGCCUUUUUUAGCCGAACACAAGGUCGUGGGGGAAUUGGGGAAUCCAAGGUCACUGUGCCUGUAGAAGUUACAAGAGUGACAUGUCUGGUGUUAUGCGCUCCUGUACUUGUUUCUUAGUCACCUUUGCUGUCAAAGGAAUAUUCAUCAGCCUUCUCCAAAAUCAGUUUCUGGAUAUCAUUGUUGAAGACAGCCUUUGGCAAGGAAUGUGAUCCUUUUGAUGCAGGAGCUUAGCUGCUUUAACAGAUCAAAGCAGAAGACAUUGUAGAAGUCUCCAUUCAAGAAAUAGAAUAUAGUAACUUGAAGUUCACUGAAUAAACUCAACUUGGCAAACAGUUUCUCCUUGCAAACAAC